rnacentral:tmRNA from 1 species
GGGGGUGAAUUAGUUUCGACGGGGGAGGCUGGGUUCGUACGGCACGUCGCGGAGUCUGACCGCGUCAUCAACAGGCAAGGCAAUAACUGCCAACAACAACACUUACGCUCUGCCCGCGGCCGCCUAAGGCCUAAAGCAAGCGUGCUGACCUUGCGAGGUCAGCCGUCCGUCCCAACCGCCGCUAUCCGGGUGGAUUGACGGGCGUCACCAAAGGUAGCGUUUGGCACUCUGACGCCGAUACUGAGCGCCUAAGAAACAUCGGCUGGUUGGCGGCAUAUCCUGUCUGGUGGAGCUACCGCCAACGAGAUCAAAGAUCAGACUAAACGUGUAGAUGUGCGUGCGCGAAUCCUUCGGACCCGGCUGGCAGUGGCCGGCACCUCCAUAC